AUGCCUAUCGUAAAGCCAACCAUUCCACCACCUCCAGUUCCUACUGCCAAACCAAGUUUUUCUCCAGGCAUGGGCAAUUCUGUAGCACAGACGAAGUCCACUCCUUCACCAGUCCCUAAGGGCAAACCUGCACCCCCACCACAGGUAAGUCAAGUGCACCAUACACAUGAUAUUCCAAGUAUGACUGAAGGCAAAAUAGAGAUCAAGAUAAAUCUUAACACAGUGCUGCCAAUUCAGGAUUUCACUGUGAGCUGCAGGAUUCCUGGUAUUUUUUUCCACAAGGCCCAUCCUCCUGGAGUCAUGUUACAACAAACUCAAAAACAGUAAGUUUUUAGCACUCAUGGCUGUGGAGAAGUGAUAUAAAACAUGACUCCUUAAAGGCUCAAAAAUUUGAAGACAAAGAGAAUCCAGUCUGCUUACUUUGGGGGGAGAAAUGGGGGAGCAGCGCAGAACCAAGAUUUUUGGACACACAGAGCUGUCAAUACUGUUAUCAGCACAGUCCAGUAGUUGGUAUUUAAAAUGCUUUUACUUUCUAAUUUUCUUCUCCUGUUUGCAUUACAGUGAAAGGUUUGAAUCCUGUGAUAAAAGUACAGAAUCUUAGCAGCACUACUCUGCACGCGAUCUAGGCUC
rnacentral:lncRNA from 1 species